AUAUCCUUUUUGAAUUUAGGAAAGAUGCAUUCGGCUUAGAAAGCAGUUUAUGGAGCUGGAGGGCAAGGGGAAAACACUGGCGUCAGCAAAUCCUGAGUUAAAAACUCAGUGGAAGAAGAAAACUAAGAUGAAGAGCGUUCAUAGGAAGAGCCUAUGCCAGAUGGAGGUCCAAGAGGUGGAUGGAAGAAAAUCCACUUGAAAGUCCAUUUUCAAUGGAUUACUCUAACAUCCCUAAUUGAAGACUAAUGUUCUAGUUACAGAACAGCCCAACACUCAAACGUGCAAGAUAUUCUCAUACAACAAAAGCACCCAGCAGCCGAUCUGUGUGAAGCAAAGAGAACAGAAACUGACCAAGACUCAA